CACCACUCUCGGAUUCAGAAGAAUGAGAAGAAGAGGAAUUCACAACCAAUACUAGAAGCGAGAAGUUAAAAGCAUUAACUGGAAACAAGCUAUUCUUCAUCGUCGUCGCCAUCUCCGGUCUUUUGGAUAUUUAGCUCUUUUCGUGUUCUGAGGAAAAAUCGACUUUAUAUGAUACUUCUUUCCAUAUUGGAAGCAUGUUGGCAUAAACUAAGAUUGUUCUCCAUUUUUGUGUUGAAAGUUUUGUUGUUUGUCGUGUUUCGUGACUUCUUAAACUUUAUGACUAAGAAAUUCAUCUCUUCAUUAGUUUUUUAAUUUCAUUCUUCAAUGUUGAGUGCAA